rnacentral:lncRNA from 1 species
ACAAAAUACAUUCCUCUCUCACUCCAUAAAACUGCACAUCAUCGUCGUCAUUGUACUGUUUUCCCCAUUGAACCAAGCAUGUCAUCCACUUUCCUGGCUCCACUUCGUUCGAUGCUAUCUCUUGGUCGAGCGUGAGUUCCCUCCGGAUUUUAGUUGAGAGCAGCGAUCAUGUACUCGCUGCACUUUGCACGUUGUUGCCCUAGCUCAGCUUCCAUUGCUAUUUGUUCGAUACGCACCUCA